UGGGGAAUUUUGGACAAUGGGGGAAACCCUGAUCCAGCCAUCCCGCGUGUGCGAUGAAGGCCUUCGGGUUGUAAAGCACUUUUGGCAGGAAAGAAACGUCGCGGGUUAAUACCCCGCGAAACUGACGGUACCUGCAGAAUAAGCACCGGCUAACUACGUGCCAGCAGCCGCGGUAAUACGUAGGGUGCAAGCGUUAAUCGGAAUUACUGGGCGUAAAGCGUGCGCAGGCGGUUCGGAAAGAAAGAUGUGAAAUCCCAGAGCUUAACUUUGGAACUGCAUUUUUAACUACCGGGCUAGAGUGUGUCAGAGGGAGGUGGAAUUCCGCGUGUAGCAGUGAAAUGCGUAGAUAUGCGGAGGAACACCGAUGGCGAAGGCAGCCUCCUGGGAUAACACUGACGCUCAUGCAUGAAAGCGUGGGGAGCAAACAGGAUUAGAUACCCUGGUAGUCCACGCCCUAAACGAUGUCAACUAGCUGUUGGGGCCUUCGGGCCUUGGUAGCGCAGCUAACGCGUGAAGUUGACCGCCUGGGGAGUACGGUCGCAAGAUUAAAAACUUAAAGGAAUUGACGGGGGUCAUAGCUGUUUCCU
rnacentral:rRNA from 1 species